rnacentral:rRNA from 1 species
UAUAGAAGUCCCUCUGCGCCGUAGAGAGCUCGAUAAGUAUUCCGCCUGGGGAGUACGGCCGCAAGGCUGAAACUCAAAGGAAUUGACGGGGGCCCGCACAAGCGGUGGAGCAUGUGGUUUAAUUCGACGCAACGCGAAGAACCUUACCGGGGUUUGAACUGUAUCGGCAACCUGUCUAGAAGCAGGGUUCCUUAGGGGACUGAUACAGAGGUGCUGCAUGGCUGUCGUCAGCUCGUGUCGUGAGAUGUUGGGUUAAGUCCCGCAACGAGCGCAACCCUUGUCUGUAGUUGCCAUCAGGUUAAGCUGGGCACUCUACGGAGACUGUCGGCGAAAAGCCGGAGGAAGGUGGGGAUGACGUCAAGUCCUCAUGGCCUUUAUGUCCCGGGCUACACACGUGCUACAAUGGAUGGAACAGAGGGCAGCGAACUCGCGAGAGUAAGCGAAUCCCAGAAAUCCAUUCUCAGUUCGGAUUGCAGUCUGCAACUCGACUGCAUGAAGUUGGAAUCGCUAGUAAUCGCGGAUCAGAACGCCGCGGUGAAUACGUUCCCGGGCCUUGUACAUACCGCCCGUCACAUCACGAAAGUGGGCUGUACU